rnacentral:rRNA from 1 species
UACGUAGGGGGCAAGCGUUGUCCGGAUUUAUUGGGCGUAAAGAGCGUGUAGGCGGCUAGGUAGGUCCGUUGUGAAAACUCGAGCUCACCUCGAGACGCCGGUGGAAACCAUCUAGCUAGAGUCCGGAAGAGGAGAGUGGAAUUCCUGGGUGUGAGCGGUGAAAUGCGCAGAGUAUCAGGAAGAACACCCGUGGCGGAAAGGCGGCUCUCUGGGACGUGACUGACGCUGAGACGCGAAAGCGUGGGGAGCGAACAGG